rnacentral:lncRNA from 1 species
AUGCUCCAGGAAGCCGCUGGGACUUACCGGCCCCUGGGAGGAUGCCGAGAGCAGAUAAAAUUGAAACAGCUUGCAAGGAGUUCUGUGGCACUGCUGAGAACCUGGCUCAGAUUAUCACCUGGACUCAGCUUGGCCUUGUGGAAUCUAUCUUUGGAAGCAGUGGCGGCAGUGCUGGAGUCAGUGUUGUGCAGCUACGAAGGAUGGAGCUGUCAAAGUGGAUUUGGAGCUGGGUUUGAAGAUUGGUUUAAAUUUGUAAAUUUAAAAGUGGAGAAGUAUGCUCGCAGGUUUCCAAUAAAAAAAAUGGAGACAUCACUUUUGGUACAUCCUCUGGACUAAAAGACUCUUGGCAUCAGCGAAAUAAAUCUGAACGUGCUUUUCUGGAGGGUAACCCCCUGUUCUCUGACACCAGUGUGCUACCAACAUACAGAAUCUUUCCUUGUGGAGACUCUGCUGUGAGGCUUUCAUGCAGGGUUAGGAAAUAAAAAAUUUUCAAAACUCCUUCA